CCUAACCGUGCGAAGGUAGCGUAAUCACCUGUUUUUUAAUUAAAGACCUGUAUGAAAGGCAUCACGAGAAUCACACUGUCUCCUUUCUCAAGUCAGUGAAACUAAUCUCCUCGUGAAAAAGCGAGGAUAACACUACAAGACGAGAAGACCCUUUGGAGCUUAAGACAAAAUAGAUACUUGCCCCACUAUGACCCCCACAUCACACAGCAUACUACCUAUAAGUCUUGGGUUGGGGCAAUCGCGGAGUAAAAACAAACCUCCAAGCUGAACGGAGAUUUCCUAAACAAAAAGCAACAACUUUAUGUAUCAACUAACUGACACAAUUUGACCCAAUACAUUUGAUUAACGAACCAAGUUACCCCAGGGAUAACAGCGCAAUCCACUUAAAGAGUUCAUAUCGAAAAGUGGGCUUACGACCUCGA
rnacentral:rRNA from 1 species